rnacentral:rRNA from 1 species
GUGGGGAAUAUUGGACAAUGGGCGAAAGCCUGAUCCAGCCAUGCCGCGUGAGUGAUGAAGGCCUUAGGGUUGUAAAGCUCUUUCAGUAGGGAAGAUAAUGACGGUACCUACAGAAGAAGCACCGGCUAACUUCGUGCCAGCAGCCGCGGUAAUACGAAGGGGGCUAGCGUUGUUCGGAUUUACUGGGCGUAAAGCGCACGUAGGCGGAUUGGUCAGUUAGAGGUGAAAUCCUGGAGCUCAACUCCAGAACUGCCUUUAAUACUGCCAGUCUAGAGUCCAGAAGAGGUGAGUGGAACUCCUAGUGUAGAGGUGGAAUUCGUAGAUAUUAGGAAGAACACCAGUGGCGAAGGCGGCUCACUGGUCUGGUACUGACGCUGAGGUGCGAAAGCGUGGGGAGCAAACAGGAUUAGAAACCCUAGUAGUCC